AGUGAACGCUGGCGGUAGGCCUAACACAUGCGAGUCGAACGGCAGCACAGUAAGAGCUUGCUCUUACGGGUGGCGAGUGGCGGACGGGUGAGGAAUACAUCGGAAUCUACUUUUUCGUGGGGGAUAACGUAGGGAAACUUACGCUAAUACCGCAUACGACCUACGGGUGAAAGCAGGGGAUCUUCGGACCUUGCGCGAUUGAAUGAGCCGAUGUCGGAUUAGCUAGUUGGCGGGGUAAAGGCCCACCAAGGCGACGAUCCGUAGCUGGUCUGAGAGGAUGAUCAGCCACACUGGAACUGAGACACGGUCCAGACUCCUAAGGGAGGCAGCAGUGGGGAAUAUUGGACAAUGGGCGCAAGCCUGAUCCAGCCAUACCGCGUGGGUGAAGAAGGCCUUCGGGUUGUAAAGCCCUUUUGUUGGGAAAGAAAAGCAGCAGGUUAAUACCCCGCUGUUCUGACGGUACCCAAAGAAUAAGCACCGGCUAACUUCGUG
rnacentral:rRNA from 1 species